rnacentral:misc_RNA from 1 species
GAUGAAGAACGCAGCGAAAUGCGAUACGUAAUGUGAAUUGCAGAAUUCAGUGAAUCAUCGAAUCUUUGAACGCAUAUUGCGCUCUCUGGUAUUCCGGAGAGCAUGCUUGUUUGAGUAUCAGUAAACACCUCAACUCCCUUUCUUCUUGAAAUGGAGCUGGACUUGAGUGAUCCCAACGCUUUAUUCAUAAAGUGGCGGGUUACUUGAAAUGCAGGUGCAGCUGGACUUUUCUCUGAGCUAUAAGCAUAUCUAUUUAGUCUGCCUCAAAACAGAUUAUUACCUUUGCUGCAGCUAACAUAAAGGAGAUUAGUUCUUGUGCUGACUGAUGCAGGAUUCACAAAGACCGCUUCGGCUGUCUUUGUAAACUCGAUCUCAAAUCAAGUAAGACUACCCGCUGAACUUAAGCAUAUCAAUAGCGGAGGA